GACAGAGGGGGCGAACGUUGUUCGGAAUUACUGGGCGUAAAGCGCGUGUAGGCUGUCCGGAAAGUCGGGUGUGAAAGCCCUGGGCUCAACCUAGGAAGUGCACUCGAAACUCCCGGACUCGAGUCCCGGAGAGGAAGGUGGAAUUCUCGGUGUAGAGGUGAAAUUCGUAGAUAUCGAGAGGAACAUCGGUGGCGAAGGCGGCCUUCUGGACGGUGACUGACGCUGAGACGCGAAAGCGUGGGGAGCAAACAGG
rnacentral:rRNA from 1 species